rnacentral:lncRNA from 1 species
ACGGCCACUAUGUUUUGUGAGUUUUUCAGUUCUACUGUCAUUUAAUUUUCGAAUAUAUUCAGAAUGAACAGAGAGAGAAAGAGGAAGAAUUAAUUCUAUUUCUUAACCGAAAUUAAUGUACAUUGUGGAUGUAUCUAACUUAAAAGGUAUUCUGCAUAAGCUCCGUAUAUUUUCUUGCAGUGAGUACGUUACUCACCUUGUAAAGUAUAGAAUUAUACACAUGACCUCUUGCAUUGCACGCAGCUCUCGGGCAGAAAUAAAAAAGGCUGAAUCAGUUUAUAAGGAGGAAAAGAAAGAAAUUAGAAGAUAUGAGAAAGCAUACUCAUGAAACGCUCCCUAGAUAUCACAAUAAUCUAUAGGAUCGGCUACGAAGAAUUUGUAAUGACAAGUUUCAAGGAAUUGUUUGUGACCGUACUGGACAGCAUUGAAUGAGUACUGAGAUCAUGGAAAUGGUUGAGCACUUCGAUUUGAUUUUGAAGCGGAAUUUUGAUUUCUCAUCUCGUCUCCCAUACUCGUCAUCAAUGGACACAAUACCAAAUACGUAUCUCGCAGUGUCAUUGAUCGGAGUUUUUCGUCAGUUCUCAUUAUCACUUGUUGGUAGAAAAUUGUUUAAAUUUGUAUCUCACAUGAAGUCUAGUCCACCCAGCGUGCAUGAUCAGUUUAAUAUGUUUUUACAUUAACAACCAAAGAUGAACGACUUGUUAUAUAAAUUAUUAUACCAGUAAGUAUCUCAUGCAACCUCAAGUUUGUAAUAACCAGACUUUAUUGCUGUUAUUGUUUAGCCUAUGCUCGGCCUUGAACCAGUAAAUCUAUCAUUAAAAGUGAUGCAGCUGUAAAUAUACCGCUUUUUUCCCCUCCUAACACUUUAUCUAAUGUGGACUUGUUUUAAUACAAUAGCAUAAUAUAUGAGGAAUAUUUUACUGCUAUUUCUAGUGGGGCGAUUGACUCCUUCGGUGGCUCACAAUCUAUUAUGAUUGUAAGCGUCGAGUUUAAAACUUGUUUCCUUCGCAGGAGCAACAACGUCUUACAAACCAAAUAUGUUACAUAAAGUAACAAAACAAAAUAUAUCAUAAAAAUACUAAUGAUUUAUCAUCGUUCAGUGUUUGCUUAAACCUAACGAUAUAGUCAACUGCACAGACAAACAGUCACACAGAUAUAUGUAAACACUGGAAUAUACGUUAACGAUCUAUAAAUUCAUGUUAUGGGAGUACAUAUAUAUAGAGAGAGAUCGGAUGCAUACAUACACUUACAUAAAUAUAUAUGAAAGUGCAUAUAUAUACGUAUAUACAUAUAUGUACAUAUAAACAUAUAUGUACAUACACAUAUAUAUAUAAACAUAUGUGUGUAUGCUUCAUCUUUAGGACUAGAAAAUACUCGUGCCCUGAUUAUUUGUUGACUUUCUACAAAUCUCAAGUGUAAGCCACUUAUCUCAGAAAUUUCUAUGCUACUCACGUAAAUAGUAAAUAGCGUAGACACGUCGAAAAGAAACUUAUUCAGCUGAUUGCUAAAUAUUCACACAAACCUACUGCAACCUCUGCUUCAAAGAACCAUUUUUUUUUUGUAUUUCUUACAGCUUCUAUAACUAUUUCUCUUACUUAUACCACAAAACUUCGUAUUGAUAUCAUCUAAGUCAACGCAACACGUGUGUCACUUCUCGCAUUCUGUCUGUCUGUCUCUCCUCCUCUCUCUCUUUCUUUCUCACACCUAAGCACUGCACUAGACCCCUUUCGAAUCACACUCACCAACUAGAACUGGCGAAAGCUGGAAUUCAUUUCACUCACUAUAUUUUCCCAGACAGGAGUAAAUAAGCAUUAGUUGAGGAAAAGCGCCAAGAAUUUCCCCAUUAUUAAAGAAUUUGGAAAGGGCAUGGAAACUGCUCCAUCAUCUGAUUAAAUAAUUUUUUAAGAAGGAGGUGGCAACCGCCUGAGUACAACUAAAAAUUGCAAUGAGUAAUUUUUCUACAACACACACACACACGCACACUUAUGUAUGUAUAUAUGUAUCUAUCUAUCCAUUUAUCUAUAUGUGUGUAUAUAUAUGUGUAAAAUCAAGCAGAAGGAAACAUUCAUAUAGUUGGAGUUGUAAGAAUUCAACAAGUUGACUCAGACCAACAUUUCUCAAAGUUUCCUAAGCGCAUAUAUGCGUAUUCGUCAGACGCCCGAGACCAAUAUCGGAAAUAUUUCCCCUUCAGGGGAAAAUAUUUGGUGAGGUUUCUUCCGAUUAUAUGAACAAAUUGAUAAUACAGCGACAUCGGAUAAUUAUAUAUAUAUAUAUAUAUAUAUAUAUAUAUAUAUAUAGAUCAAUAAAUGGUGGGGUUGUGUUGACCGCACGUGGAGAAAUGAUAAGUAAGGAAAAACUUUUUAAAAAAAUGCAGAAUGCUCAAAUGAAAGAAAAUUUUAAUAAAAUGAUAAAAUGAUAAAAUAUAUAAAUGUAUAUUUAUUCAACCGGUUUUCGUCAUUGUAUGACUUGUCAAGAAUAUUUAUGUUUUAAGAAGUUUUUUUAAAAAUUAGAAAGGGGAAAAAAAGAAAAUUGCAUUGUUUUUUGUAAAAGAAUAAUGAUAAAAAUGUACAAAAAUUAAAAAAUAAGUUCUCCGAUACAUUGUGAGUUCGUUGUGUAUCUUGCGUUUUAUGGUUGUUUACGAAAAAAUUACCUUGAGGUGUUAAGAUCCAAAGGGAUUAAGAGCAUGUGUUGUGUUGUGUUGUUAAAUUCAGCAUGUUUGCAGGACAGGAAGUAGUAGUAAUUGUGGUCCUGGUUCUUCAGUUCCUGUGUUGUGAGUAAGGGGAGACAACUCUUUUGAGUUCUUCAAUAAAACCCAAAUUAUAAAACUAUCAUUUUAGCUUCAUUUGCAUUAUCUUUUUUAUAUAAUUGCUUGUUAACUUAACUUUCAGAUUUUAACACUUUAUUUACAUUAUUUUCUAAUAAUAUAAAUCUGCAUAGACAUGAAAAACAUUAUAAAUACACACAAAAUCCUCAAAUGCAAAAGGCAACACAAAUCUUAAAAAAAACUCUUGACAAAUGCCAAACUUCACACACCACAUCCACCCCCAACAGUAAAAAAAUGUGCACGCUCAAACUGUGGUACCUGCCCCUUUCUACUUGAAGGCUCUGAAUUUACCUUCAAACAAGGUACGAAGUUUAAAAUCAAGACUAACUUCUCCUGUUCCUCCGAGAACCUUAUCUACGUUCUCACAUGCGCUGGUUGCCAACAUAAUUAUGUUGGACAAACGAGUCUCCCGUUACGUAAACGAGUAACGGUGCAUAAAGAACAAAUAAAUCUCCCGGAAUACCGACAAAUUCCACUGAGUGACCACUUAGACUCAUGUGCUAAAGACUUAAACCCCAAAUUCUAUAUAUUCCCCUUCUACCAAUGUAAAGACGGGAUCACCACACAGGAGAGAAUUAACAAGGAGAAUCUCUUUAUUGAAAAAUUCCAAACACAACUUAAUAUGCAAACUCCUCGUUGAUCAAACUUCCUUUCUCUACCUCACUUUUCAUGGAUGGACUAACACAAAUAUAUAAAGAUACCAUGCAUUCAUCACUUCAAGCUAAAACUUAUAUUCUUUAAAUAUCAUUUUUACUAUUGUUGUUAUUACUAUCAUUUUUAUUAUAAAUGAUAUGACAAUUUGAAAUGCAAUUGUCUAUGCAGAUUUAUAUUAUUAGAAAAUAAUGUAAAUAAAGUGUUAAAAUCUGAAAGUUAAGUUAACAAGCAAUUAUAUAAAAAAGAUAAUGCAAAUGAAGCUAAAAUGAUAGUUUUAUAAUUUGGGUUUUAUUGAAGAACUCAAAAGAGUUGUCUCCCCUUACUCACAACACAGGAACUGAAGAACCAGGACCACAAUUACUACUACUUCCUGUCCUGCAAACAUGCUGAAUUUAACAACACAACACAACACAUGCUCUUAAUCCCUUUGGAUCUUAACACCUCAAGGUAAUUUUUUCGUAAACAACCAUAAAACGCAAGAUACACAACGAACUCACAAUGUAUCGGAGAACUUAUUUUUUAAUUUUUGUACAUUUUUAUCAUUAUUCUUUUACAAAAAACAAUGCAAUUUUCUUUUUUUCCCCUUUCUAAUUUUUAAAAAAACUUCUUAAAACAUAAAUAUUCUUGACAAGUCAUACAAUGACGAAAACCGGUUGAAUAAAUAUACAUUUAUAUAUUUUAUCAUUUUCUCAUUUUAUUAAAAUUUUCUUUCAUUUGAGCAUUCUGCAUUUUUAAAAAAAUUUUUUCCUUACUUAUAUAUAUAUAUAUAUAUAUAUAUAUAUAUAUAUAUAUAUAUAUAUAUAUAUAUAUAUAUAUAUAUAUAUGUCACCACGUAGCAGAGGAAACAGUACAGUUUCGUCAAGUAAUCGGCGGCCUCUUGAGUUUUUGAGCUUAGUGAUCUAUGCGGGAUAUGUUCUAUCAACAACUGUACUUCAGUACAGUAUUUAAGUAUUUUUAUAUAGCAAUUGGACAUUCUUAUUAAACUAAGAGGAACUAUUAGAUGAAAAACAGUUUAAAUUUUCUCAAGCAGUUUAAAGUAUUUAAAAAAUAAGGACACUGACACUACGAUAGUUUAUAAUGACGUCACCUAACAGCGAAGUGUAACUAAUACAGAAUGUCGAUUUUGGUAACAGAAGAGUUGACAAAGCAGAAUAUCAAUAUUGAUAUGCAAAUUCAGUGAUGACAUCGAUAUCAGUGAAUAAAAUAAGUGUAAGUUAUUUUAAGGCAGGAAAUAUUGAAUAUGUAAAAUACAUUUGAAAAUUACGAGUAUUAAACAUAAACCGUAACCACCUCUAAAUCUAACGUACAAAGUGUCUAGCUCUUAAACAAAUGAGAAAGAUCGUGAAGUAAAGGUAGGUAUUAAAAAAAGAAAGAAAAAGGAUUUCGACUGAUUUGUUAAUCAGAACAAAACUGAAAACACUCUUUAAAUAUACAAUUUUAGCUUUCAGGUCCACGACAUUGCGUGAAUGGGAAUAAAUGGGGGGAAAAAUAAAGCACAAAAAACCCCCACAAAAACAAAGAAAAAACACCAACAAAAAUCAAUAACAAAAGAGAAAGAAAAUUGUUUAAAUCUGAAAGACGAUACUUGUUACAAAGUGCUAUGUUCGUUGAAUAGCAUUCGUGUUGAGUGUCAGACAAGUCAAGUGUUACUUAAAGUUUUAUUCUACAUCCUUCCAAACAUGCACACAUACAUACACGUGUGUGUGUAUCUCUCUCUCACACAUACAAUCACACACACAUAAAUGUGUAUGUAUAAAUAUAUAUAUGUAUAUAUAUAUAUAUAUAUAUAUAUAUAUAUAUAUAUAUAUAUAUAUAUAUAUAUAUAUAUAUAUAUAUAUGUGUGUGUGUAUAUAUAUAUAUAUAUAUAUAUAUAUAUAUAAACGCAUGCACACACACGCAUGUAUACAUGUAUGUAUGCAUGCAUGUAUGUAUAUAUAUAUAUCAGGCAUUAUAUACUUCACGAUAUUGUAUAUUUUACACGUUGUACACCUCCAUUGACUAUUACACAUACAUCAAAUACGUCAAAUUUUGUGAUAUAUACGUGAGUGUGUGAGUAUGUGUGUAUAUACACAUACGAAUAUGAAGUGUUACCAUUUGUUGAACAUGUUAAAGGAUUGAGAUGACAGUAUACUUUCAGGUACUCUGUAUAUCCGUCUGUCUGCCUGUCCGUCUAUUUAUCAAUCAAUCUAUAUUUAUCUGUGUGUUUAUAUUAUUUUGUUAUUGGUAUAUAGAUUCUCACAAGAGUUUGUGUUUUACUUAUACACAUUCAUACACACACACACACAUACACAUGCUUACGUACGGACAUGCAGAUGCACAUACGCACACACGCUACAUAUAUGAGUAUGUCUGUGUUUGUUGUGCUGUGUGCGCAUGCGUAUGCAUACCUAUUCGAAGAAUACUGAAUAAUAGAGAUUUAUUUUUUUGAAGCUAAGGCUGCAGCCCAUUGUUGCUCUCAGAUAGAGUAUUCCAAGUAACUGCAGAUGAAACUUAUUCGAUGACAGUUUCAGAAGUUUUCAUACUUAAAACAUGCAUAUAUUCAUCCAUAUAUUUAUAUUCACAAGACGAAUUAAUAAACGCACACGCACACACACAUACACACACUCGCACACGUACACUCACACACACACACACACACACACACACACACACACACACACACACACACACACACACACACACACACACACACACAUAUAUAUAUAAAUCAGAGCUUCACUUAACAGUUCAUCAGGCAAUUGUGAUCAUAUCAUAGUCCUCUUAUGAACGAUUACGUGAAACUCUGAGAAACAUUUCAUUCUAACUUUGGUUGUCGAGUACUAUUUUCCCACCUUGCUUUGCACCUAGGUACUUACUAGUGUGUGUGUGUGAAUGUGAGUUUGUGUACGUAUGUAUAUGUAUGUGUGCAUGUAUAUAUAUAUAUAUACAUAUAUAUGUAUGUAUGUGUGUGUGCACAUAUAUAUAUACAUACACGCAUACAUAUAUACACACACACAUGCAUAUACGUAGUCUGAUCAAUAAGUAUCCGGACUGUUGUCAUAACGAAGCUAAAGCACGCAGAGUAAAGCCGCUUGGUAAAUAUUGACCUUGAUCUCUGUUGUGCUUGCACAUUUAGUUUUAACGUUCUAGCCCACUUUCACUGUUUACAGCAGUGCUGUAGUGAGGGAUCAUCGCAUUGACUAUGACAGAGAAGGUUGAGCAGAGAGAUCUGCAUCACAUUUUGCCAAAAACCUAGCGAUACCUGCUCAGAGGCCUCGACACAAUCAAGAAAAUCUUGUGCAGCUGAAUUCCGAGUGACUCUUUGGUCAGUUAAAAGCAGUUUUGGCACAAAGUUGGCAGAUACGCGUCUGACAUCGAAAUCUUCAGUGAUAAUGAACUGAACUAGUCUGCACAUCCUCUGAAUCGACGAUUUCCCCUCACAGCUGCACGCACAUGCGAUGUUUUUUCAGUUCUGCUGGUCAUUCGUCAUUAUCGAUAUUUUUUCGACCAUUUUGGAAAUGUCUGAACCUCUUGUACACUUGUGUGUGGCUCAUACACUCCUCUCCAUACACUUGCGUAGGCCUCUAAGCAGGUAUCGCCAUGACAACUUUCUCUGUCAUGGUCAAUGCGACGAUCACACGCGACACAUCUUCCUUCCAAGCAGUGCUGUAAACAGUGUAAGUGAGCUAGAACGUUAAAACUUAGUGCGCAUGCACAGCAAGGUUCAAGGUCAAUCUUUGCCAAAUGAUUUCGCUCCGCUUGCUUUAGCUUCGUUACUAUGGCACUAUGGCAACAUAUUGAUGUGAAUAUUGAUGUGAACGUCAUGUUUAUUAUUUCCGAAGACAUAUAAUUUAGAAUUUAAUUACACUUGAUGCCUCUUCAUUCUUAUCUACAGAAGGAAUAAUUUAAGAUUUUACAAAUAUACAUUAGCUAUGCAAACAUAUAUACAAAAAUAUGUACAUAUUUGUAAUGUGUUUGCUUGUCAGGACGUGUUUGCGUUAGUAUGUGUGAGCAUUGUAAAUUCCGUAGUGUGUGCUUUUUGAAAAGUGUACCGUAAAUCUUCAAAUAUUUGAAUAUACUGAAUCUAAGCAAGGAUGUUUUUUGUCUAAUGCAUACACAAUACAAAGAUACAUGUAUAUUGGUUUCAAAUAUUGGCACAAGGCCAGCAAUUUCGGCGGAGAGAGAGAUAUGAAUAUUGGAAGACAGUCUUUAUUCUCUUAUUCUUUUAUUUGUUUCGGUCAUUUGACUGCAGCUAUGCUGGAGCACCACCUUUAGUAGAGCAAAUCGACCUAAGGACUUAUUCUUUGUAAGCUUAGUACUUAUUCUAUCGGUCUCUUUUGCCAGACCGCUAAGUUACGGAGACGAAAACACACCAGCAUCGGUUGUCAAGCGAUGCUGGGGGGACAAACAAUGUCACACAAACAUACAUACAUACAUACAUACAUACAUACAUACAUACAUACAUACAUGCAUGCAUACAUACAUAUAUAUAUAUAUAUAUAUAUAUAUAUAUAUAUAUAUAUAUAUAUAUAAGGGGCUUUUUUCAGUUUCCGUCUACCAAAUCCACUCAGAAGGCUCUAGUUGGCCCGAGACCAUAGUAGAGAACACUUGGACAAAGUACCACGCAGUGGGACUGAACCGGGAACCAUGUGGCUGGUAAGCAAGCUACUUACCACACAGCCACUCCUACGCCUAUUAUAUACCAUAAUACGUUUCUAUCAACAUUUUGUGCAACAACGAAAGAAGUAUCUCAAAGUUAGAAAUAAAUAGUUGGUAGUUAUGGCAAUGGUGUUAGUGGAAGCGUCGGAAGAGAUGUGGGUGUUGUGAAAGGUAAAUAGAGAAAGAUAAAGAUAGAAAGAUUGAGAGAAAAAGAGAGACUAGAAAUAGUGGGCCAAUGGAGAUAUAGAGGCAAUAGUAAAACAGUCUUUUUUCUCACUUCUCUCUAUUUCACUCUUUCAAAGAAAAACAGGCCUUGCAUAUAUACCUGACAGAACUGGACUAUAAGCACAAGAGAAAAGAUAAAAUCAAAUUGUACCAGAUUAUCUUCCAAAAUGCAGUGCAUCAAGUACUGAUUAACAACCACAAAAUAUCAGACAGAAGUCUGCUACACUCAGAAUCUACAUUGUAAGAAAUUAAAUCAAAAGUAACCAGAAAGAUUGGAAUGGUGCGGUAACUGUUUAGAUUUUGUAUCACAGUUUAAAUCCAAAACAGAUGACUGCUUAGGGAUAUCUAUAUAUAAAAGACAAACUCGUAGCAUGCAUGCAUGUUAAUACCUAUACAUAUAUACAUACAUAUGUAUAUAUAUAUAUAUAUAUAUAUAUAUAUAUAUAUAUAUAUAUAUAUAUAUAUAAUACACACCCACCCACACAUUUACAUAUAUGUAUAUAUAUAUAUGCAUACAUAUAUAUAUACAUAUAUAUAUAUAUGUGCAUAUAUAUGCAUAUAUACAUGCAUAUAUAUAUAUGUACGCACGCACGCACGCACACACACUCUCUCACACACAAUCAUUCAUUUUCUAAUAUUAAAUUAAAACACUCAAAAUCGCUUGGGAAUAUUUAUGGAAUCUUAAAUCCCAAAGUAUCUUAUCUUUUACUUGUUUCAGUCAUUAGAAUGCGGCCAUGCUGGGGCACCGACUUAAAUUUUUCGCCGAAUAAAUCAUUCCUAGUAGUUGAUUUUUUAAAGCGCUGGGAGGACAAAUACAGACACAAAGACACACAUAGAUACGUAUACGUUUGAUCGCUAGCCACUACACAUUCUUUAUUUUCUAUCAUUAUUUGUUUCUGUGUUCCUUUCUUUGGAAAAGCGUAGGCUCGAAAUGUUAAACUAAUACAUCUGUUUGUUGUCUACACCACCCGUCUUCGUCAUUUUUUUUUGUUGAGAAUUCACCCUAUAUAUAUAUAUAUAUAUAUAUAUAUAUAUAUAUAUAUAUAUAUAUAUAUAUAUAUGUAUAUAUAUACAGGGGUUGGAAAAAUACUGGAAACACCUUAAGAUUUCAAACUAAUUUAUUUUGAUAUGGGUAGGACCGCCUUUGGUAGUAGUUACAGCUUGAAUUCUACGGGGUAUGGACUGGUACAAAGUUUGAAUUGUUUCCAAAGGAGUUUUUGUCCAUUCUUCAGCUAAAACAGCCUCCAGUUCUUAUAGAGAUGAUGAUGGGGGAUAUCGACUCCUCACUUGUUUUUCUAAAAUGCACCAUAAAUGUUCAAUAAUAUUGGGAUCUAAAGACUGUGGUGACCAGAUAAGAUGUCCAUCUUCACUAGAAUGUUUCUCGUGCCAUUCAGUUACGACUUAAGCUGUGUGAAUUGGUGCAUUAUCAUCCUGAAAGAUUGCGUUUCCUUCCAGAAACAGUUCCGCAACCAUAGGAUGAACUCAAUAAGAUAAAAUGCUUAAAUAGUCUUGGCUAUUAAUUCUGCUAUGAGGAAAAACCAUAGGGCCGGCGAAUUUCCAAGAUAUAGCCCCUCCCCCACAGAUGAUCACAGAUCCCCCUCCAUGUUUGAUUGUUUGGAGAAGGCAGUCUGGAUCAAAUGCUUCUUUUCGCUGUCUACACACGUAUCUUCAGCCGGGGUUGGAAAUAUGGUAAAGGAUGACUCGUCCGAGAAAAUAACAUUCUUCCACUGCUCUAGAGACCAAUUCUGUAGGUUUUCACUCCACUCUAAACGCUAUGUAACGUUUGUUUUUGAAAGUAGUGGUUUUCUGAUAGCAGCCCUCCCGUGAAAUCCGGCUUUGUGCAGCUUACGUCGAACAGUUUUUGUGGAAACUGGGUUCUCGAGGUGGUCAUUAAGCUCUGCAGUAAUUUUGGGAGAUGAACAUUUCUGAUCCCUUCUAACAAUUCGCGUAAGAAUCCGACGGUCCCUAUCUGAAAGUUUUGGUUUUCUUCCAGAGUUUUGUUUCGAUGAGGAGGUUUUUCCCUCUUUUUCAAAGGCUGUCAUUACUUUCGAGACAGUACUUCUUGAUACACCAAACAUUUCGGCUGUUUUCGUUGCGCUAGCGCAUGCUAUACGAGCACCAACAAUUUGACCUCUUUGAAAGUCCGAUAGAUCUGUCAUUUUAAUGAAUUUUAAUGACCUUUUUCUUAUGUUAUCUGAAAAGAAACACCAAUUUUAGCAAAACGUAUUAAGCAACACUAAAAAGAAUAAUAAAAAAAUAAAUAAGCUUUUGAUGGUUUGAUAGAUAUUUCAAAAUUAUGAUACUAUGAUGCUAGGUGUUUCCAUUAUUUUCUCCAAUCCUUGUAUAUAUAUAUAUAUAUAUAUAUAUAUAUAUAUAUAUAUAUAUAUAUAUAUAUAUAUAUAUAUAUAUAUAUAUAAACAUAUGUAUGUGUGUAUAUAUAUAUACAUAUAUAUAAAUACAUCAGGAUUCUCUCAGUUUCCGUCUACCUAUUCCACUCACAAGGAUUUGGUUGGCUCAAGACUAUAAUAGAAGACAGUUGCUCAAGGUGUCAUGCAGUGGGACUGAAACCAGAACAUUGUGGUUAGGAAGCAAGCUUCUAACCACACAGUCACAUAGACAUUAAUUUUCUAAUUAUAAAUUAAAAUGCUUUAUCACAUUCGGAAUAUAUAUGGAAUAGAAAUAAUCCAAAGGUAUCAUCAUAUAAAUAUUAAUUUUCCAAUCAAAAUAAAAAAGCCAACAUCUCUUGGGUAAAAUAUAUGGAAUCUUAAAUUCAAAGCUAUCAUCACGCAUAAAGAUUCAUUAUCGAAUCGUAAAUGUAAAUGCGACGGCAGUUUCGGAAUAUAUAUGGAACCUUAAAUCAAAAAUUAUUAUGACAAAGCACUUAUUCCAAAUGAAUUAAAACGCUCAGCAUUAUUUUGGAAACUGAAUUCCACAUGUAUCAUCAUAUAAAGGUUCACUUUAUACUCAUAGAUUAAAACACUUAACAUUGCUUCGGAAUAUACAUGGUAUAUUAAUUCCAUAGGUAUCAUGACAAAGAUAUUCAUUUCCUUAUACUAAAUGAAAAUACACAACAUCACAUUCUGAAUAUAUGUGGGCACUUAGAUUCAAUAUAUUAUCACAAAAUAAUUUAUUCUUUAAUUAUAAGUCAAUGUGUCGGUUGGAAUAUUUUUGGAAUCAUAAAUACAAAAUAUCAUCAUAUAACCAUACAAUUUUUAGAUCCUUAAAAAUCUCAACAUUGCUUUCGAAAUAUAAAUGUAAAUUAAAUCCAAAAAUAUCAGCAUAUAAAGAUUCAUUUUCUAAAUUAAAAUAUCUUACAUUUCUUUCAUAAUAUUAUGAUGUCUUAAAUAAAAAUGUAACACCGCAUACUUAUUAAUUUUAUAAUGAUAAAUUAAAACACUCAACAUCUCUUUCAGAAUGUAAAAACAUCGAACAAGUAUUUCGG